rfam:Dipodomys ordii contig_5795, whole genome shotgun sequence.
GGUGGCUCAGUGGAAGAGCACUUGCCUUGCAUGCAUGAGGCCCUGGGUUCAAUUCCUCAGCACCA